rnacentral:rRNA from 1 species
GAUGAACGCUGGCGGCGUGCCUAAUACAUGCAAGUCGAGCGAACGGACGAGAAGCUUGCUUCUCUGAUGUUAGCGGCGGACGGGUGAGUAACACGUGGAUAACCUACCUAUAAGACUGGGAUAACUUCGGGAAACCGGAGCUAAUACUGGAUAAUAUUUUGAACCGCAUGGUUCAAAAGUGAUAGACGCUUUUGCUGUCACUUAUAGAUGGAUCCGCGCUGCAUUAGCUAGUUGGUAAGGUAACGGCUUACCAAGGCAACGAUGCAUAGCCGACCUGAGAGAGGAUCGGCCACACUGGAACUGAGACACGGUCCAGACUCCUACGGGAGGCAGCAGUAGGGAAUCUUCCGCAAUGGGCGAAAGCCUGACGGAGCAACGCCGCGUGAGUGAUGAAGGUCUUCGGAUCGUAAAACUCUGUUAUUAGGGAAGAACAGAUGUGUAAGUAACUGUGCACAUCUUGACGGUACCUAAUCAGAAAGCCACGGCUAACUACGUG